rnacentral:rRNA from 1 species
UCAGGAUGAACGCUAGCGACAGGCUAACACAUGCAAGUCGAGGGGCAGGCACGGGAGUAGCAAUACUUGGUGGCGACCGGCGCACGGGUGAGUAACGCGUAUGCAACCUACCUAUCAGAGGGGAAUAACCCGGCGAAAGUCGGACUAAUACCGCAUAAAACAGGGGCACCGCAUGGUGAUAUUUGUUAAAGAAAUUCGCUGAUAGAUGGGCAUGCGUUCCAUUAGGUAGUUGGUGAGGUAACGGCUCACCAAGCCGACGAUGGAUAGGGGAACUGAGAGGUUGGUCCCCCACACUGGUACUGAGACACGGACCAGACUCCUACGGGAGGCAGCAGUGAGGAAUAUUGGUCAAUGGGCGGGAGCCUGAACCAGCCAAGUCGCGUGAAGGAAGAAGGAUCUAUGGUUCGUAAACUUCUUUUGCAGGGGAAUAAAGUGCAGGACGUGUCCUGUUUUGUAUGUACCCUGAGAAUAAGGAUCGGCUAACUCCGUGCCAGCAGCCGC